CUGGAUUGGAACAUGACAGAGAAGAUUAGCACAGGCCCUGCACAAGGAUGACACACAAAUCACUAAAGCAUUCCAUAUUUUU
rnacentral:snRNA from 1 species